AAGCUUACAUGCUUCCAUCAGAUAAUGAUAUAGAAGAGUGUCUUGCAUUGGUGAGAGAAAAAAGUUUCAUAUCACUAAACCAACGUUGUGACACAGUUCUUCACUUUCUGGCCAUAAAAGGAAAUGUUGCUGCUUUUAGAGCACUUAUUAAAGAAGGUCUUCUUAGUAUAGAAGCACUUAGAAAGAAGAAUGUCAAAGGAUGUACAGCAUUGCACGAAGCCGCGAGAUAUGGACAGAAGGAGGUGGCAGAAAUAAUGGUAAUGCAAGACAAUGAUUUAGUUCAUUUAAAGGAUGAAGCUGGGGAAACGCCAUUAUACUUUUGGAGGAUUUUGGGAGGAUUUUGGGAGUGAUUGCUUUGCUAAGAGAAAUGACGGUUGCACUGUUCUUCACGCUGCUAUUGACGGUGAACAUUACCGUUUGGCAAUAAGCAUAUUAUCCAGAUAUCCUGGCCUUGCGGAAGAACAUGAGCAAAAGGGAAUGAGUGCAUUGAACUUAUUAGUCAUCAUUCAAGAGUAGAUCGGACUACACUAAUUUUAGCCGAUCCGAGCCUUUCAAGUUGUCAGAGCCAUACGUACUCUUUCCAUUUCAACUUGUCGAAGCUAUAUUCUAUCGUGGUAUGUUU